UUCUAGGCUACAUUCCAAAACUUCCUCUCUUGAGUAAAAUUUACUCGAAAUAUAUAGUAUGUAACGUAUACUAUAGCAUAUAGAGUAAAAUCUUCCUCAGAGAAGAAGUUUUGGAACGUAAUCCUAGUAAUUUUGCAGGAUUCCAGCUAAAGUGUUGGAGAAUGUCUCUGACAUCUGUUUCAGUUGGAAUCCUACAAAGUUACUAGUAGAGACCUAUAUAUAAGAGAAGCGACAUUCAUCCCCACCUAUCACCUCUAUCAUAUGUUCAGCACCGUAUGUUUGGCCCGUUGACCAAUUCCGUUAUACUCCAUUUAUUCCAGUAUAGGAAUUAUGAACUCCGUCAGGAUGGGAUUAAAUAUAUGUAUCAGUUUUGCUGUAGCAAAAAAACAUAGCUCUCCACUGUGGACACAAUAUGGACUCUACUACUAGAAUGGUUAAGCUAGGCCGCGAUCAAAGUCUCUACAAACGUUUUGAAGCAUUUGAUAGACCAAUUAGAAGAAAGAAUUUUACAAACUGACCAAUUAAAAAACGCUGCAAAGUAACGCUUUGCAGCAUCGUGUUGACCAUACUCUUAAUCGAAGCUUGAUAAAAGCCUAAGGAUGAAAUCACACGAUGCGAAAAAGGGCUGUGGAAUAGAAAAUGCGUCAUUGAAAUAACCAAGAAUUGAAAUAACCAAGGAUCCGAUGAAUCGUCGGAUUUCCAAUUCAACCGACCAGUGAUACUCAUUGAUGCAUUUCAAAAAAUUCUCUAAUUGGACUUUGAUGAUUAGAAGUAAUUGGAUUAAAUCGAAUAGAUUGUGAGAAGUGCAAUUU